GGAAAUUCAUUCGCGUUUCGAUCGUCGGCGAUGGGUGGACGAGUGACGGAUGGCGUUCGCGUCGUCUGCGCCGUUUAUUCAUUCGAACUGGCGUCGAACGCGUGCACUUUUCCCCUAGUAGGACGUCGCGAUCCGUUGGGUGUCGGUCUACGGCUCGAGGUGGAGCCCACGUGGUAGUUUCGGCUUUCGCGUGGACCCUCGGUGUCCCGGCCGACUCGCUCGACGGUAUAAUAAUGGCGCGAGGCCGCUACGUCAGUUAGCGUUCGGCUCGUGGCAAGCACGUUCGGUGUUUGACGGCGAUCGGACCUAGUGCCGGUCCUGUCCCCGAACGACUGUUGGCCGCGAUGUUCUCGAACAGACCUCGUUGAAACGCCGAUCUGCGACGCUAUAGCUUUGGGUACUUUCAGGACCCGUCUUGAAACACGGACCAAGGAGUCUAGCAUGUGCGCGAGUCAUUGGGACAUAACUAAACCUAAAGGCGUAAUGAAAGUAAAGGUCUGCCUUGCGUAGAUCGAGGGAAGAUGAGCGGUUUGCCCUUAAAGUGGCCGCUCCGCACUCCCGGGGCGUCUCGUUCUCAUUGCGAGAAGAGGCGCACCAAGAGCGUACACGCUGGGACCCGAAAGAUGGUGAACUAUGCCUGGUCAGGACGAAGUCAGGGGAAACCCUGAUGGAGGUCCGUAGCGAUUCUGACGUGCAAAUCGAUCGUCG
rnacentral:rRNA from 1 species